rnacentral:piRNA from 2 species
UGACAUCCCUCCUCUGGGGCCUAAUGAGA